UUCAAAUUUCUUUUUUUUAACUGAACACAUUUAAGUCAUGGAUACCUUGAAAAGGAAGAGUGAAUCUGAACUAAAACGUUGCUGCGAAGAAAGUUAAGCCGUUGAAAUCUGAUGUUUCUGAAAAUCUUCAAAGAUGAUUGUAAACAAGAGGGAGCCUUUCACAUUGGAAUCGAUGUAUUUGUCGUGGUGGGAACCUGUAAAGGAUCGAUACAGUACCGCUCAAAAGUGUCAGUACACCUAGAAACUUAUAAAAAAAUGGCAAAAUUCAAAGUGUCAUAACUUCUUUA